UGCCUUCAUUCGGAUUACGCAUUUGUUGGAACAUGUUUGACAUAUACGAUGCCCCUGGGGAACAAGGAGAGAAUGGUUCCAAGACUGUUGUUAUGGUUUUGUAUAGGUUUUGAGGCAAGUCUUGGAGCAUGGUAGUCACAGGCGACACCCUUGAGAUAUUUGUUGGUGUGCCUUCUUCAUGAUUUUGAGGAGGAUUUUCUUAAUUCAUGAUGGCCACAGACAACCACCGUGAAACAAUUAUUGUAGUGUCUUCAUUAAGAUUUUGAAGCA
rnacentral:lncRNA from 1 species